CUACGGGGCGCUGCAGUGGGGAAUAUUGCACAAUGGAGGAAACUCUGAUGCAGCAACGCCGCGUGGAGGAUGACACUUUUCGGAGCGUAAACUCCUUUUAUAUAGGAAGAAGAUGACGGUACUAUAUGAAUAAGCGCCGGCUAACUCCGUGCCAGCAGCCGCGGUAAUACGGAGGGCGCAAGCGUUACUCGGAAUCACUGGGAGUAAAGAGCGUGUAGGCGGAUUAAAAAGUCAGAAGUGAAAUCCUAUAGCUUAACUAUAGAACUGCUUCUGAAACUCUUAAUCUAGAAUAUGGUAGAGGUAGAUGGAAUUUCUGGUGUAGGGGUAAAAUCCGUAGAGAUCAGAAGGAAUACCGAUUGCGAAGGCGAUCUACUAGAACAUUAUUGACGCUGAGACGCGAAAGCGUGGGGAGCAAACAGGAUUAGAUACCCCAGUAGUC
rnacentral:rRNA from 1 species